rnacentral:sRNA from 1 species
AGAUGCCGCUCCCUUCUUGUGAGAAGUAGGAGUAGGGCUGAGAAAGGAUUUAGCUUUCCUUCUAGCCUUAAUUUUUCCAGUGGAAACCUAGAUCCUCCUCUCCCCACUACCACCUCCUAGGCGACCUUACCCGCCUGCAGACGUCUUCAACAGUAGAGUCCUAGUGAGCCUGGGGCCCCAUCUGGUGCCAUACCCCGCUUUGAUGGUCCUGUUAAUGCCCUCCCACAUUGUAGUUAGGGUUUAGCUGAGAAGUGAGGUAUAAGGCAGACCCCCUGUGCUGAGGAUUGAUCCACACUGAUCCCUCAGGUCUUGGGGGCCUGGGAGGAAGCAGAUUCCCUUGACCACACUUCGUUGUUCCCUCUGGCUUGUGGGGGCAUUGCUGUGCUCCAUGUGGCAAGGUGGAAGGCAUGGACGUGUGGAGGAGGCGCUGGAGCUGAAGGAAUGGACGGGCCCUGGGAGGAGGGCAGAAGGCUACGCAGGGCUGAGGAUGAAGAUUCAGCCCCUGGAUGGUCCCAGACUCUCAGGACAUGCCCAGCUCAGGGGCUUCAAGCCACAGGCCUGGCCUCAUAUGGCAUGAGGGG